GGGGAUUAAAGCGGUGAGGAUUGCAGCUGCACAGACAGAAAGAGAGCAGAGGGAGGGAGACGGGCUUACAGAUAAAAAAGGGACAGACUGGAAACCAAUAAUGCGGCGCUGAUUUAAAAGGAUGGUCUCCCUCCUACAGCUCUACGACCUCUGCAGCACAUCCAGAAUGCAGCAGCUCAACUGGUCUUUAACCUUCCUAAAUUCUCCAACACUCCUCCACUCCUCCGCUCUCUUCACUGGCUACCAGUGGCUGCCCGCAUCCACUUCAAAACAUUGGUGCUCACGUACCACGCUGUGAAUGGAUCGUUUCCAGUCUACAUCCAGGACCUGGUCAAACCCUACAUCCCAACCUGCAAACUCCGCUCUGCAUCUGCCAAAUUGGUUGUUCCUCCUCACUAAGAGCAAAACACUCAACAAGAUCACGACCCUUUGCUGUCCUGCUCCUAAAUGGUGGAAUGAGGUCUUUGAUGACAUCAGGACCGCAGAGAGUCUUCACAUAAAACUAAACCCACACCUCUUCAUCUAUACCUCAACUAAAGACUCUUAACGAAUUGUUCCACUUAAUCGUACUUAGAAUGGCUCUCAGCUAUAGCAAGUUGUAAAUCGGCUUGAAAUGCACUUAUUGUAAGUCGCUUUGGAUAAAAGCGUCAGCUAAAUGACAUCAAAGCAACUGCUUUGAUCCAGGUGCAUUCAUUGGCAGGCUACAGCUAUGAUCCAGCUGUGCAGAUUUCUCCUCCAUAUCAGCAGAGUCGGCUUGAAAAUAAUUAAUCAAGUCGGUCAAAUAUCCCACUGUGACCAACAUUACAUUACAUUACAUGUCAUUUAGCGGACGCUUUUAUCCAAAGCGACGUACAAUAAGUGCAUUCAACCAUAGGGUACAAACUCAGGAGAACAAGAAACAAGAAAGUGCAAUUUGCUCAAAUAAGCCAAUUUACAAUUUGCUAUAGAUGAGUGACGUUACAAGUACAAUUUAAGUGCUACAAUUUGUUAGUCUUUAGUCGAGGUAGAGUCUGAAGAGGUGUGUCUUUAGUUUGCGGCGGAAGAUGUGAAGGCUCUCUGCGGUCCUGAUGUCUUUGGUCGAGCCAGGAGGGAGUUGCAGUAGUCCAGGUGGGAGAUGACAAGAGCCUGAAUCAGUACCUUCUGAGUGAGAAGAGGACGUGUUCUCCUGAUGUUGUAGAGCGAGUAUCUACAGGAUAAUGGUUUGUUGUCCGAUGCCGCCAGAUCUUGGGACGCGGAAGGAGGAAAGGAAAUGCUGGAGACUAGGGAGCAACUUGCUUCAGUCCUCGUUGUGGUUCAGCCUGCAGAGACACCAACUCUGUUGCCUGCCUGCUACCCCCUCCAGCAUGUCAGUGCUGAGCCCUCACUGUGGAGCAGCGGCGUUGAAAGUGCUGGAAACUGGCCUCACUCGCCCGUCGGACGCAAGACAGUUGAGAAGUGGAGGGACGACGUCCAAAGCACACAAGUGGGGCAAAUGAAAGCCAU
ensembl:lncRNA